rnacentral:rRNA from 1 species
AUUGAACGCUGGCGGCAGGCUUAACACAUGCAAGUCGAGCGGAGAUGAGGUGCUUGCACCUUAUCUUAGCGGCGGACGGGUGAGUAAUGCUUAGGAAUCUGCCUAUUAGUGGGGGACAACAUUCCGAAAGGAAUGCUAAUACCGCAUACGCCCUACGGGGGAAAGCAGGGGAUCUACGGACCUUGCGCUAAUAGAUGAGCCUAAGUCGGAUUAGCUAGUUGGUGGGGUAAAGGCCUACCAAGGCGACGAUCUGUAGCGGGUCUGAGAGGAUGAUCCGCCACACUGGGACGGAGACACGGCCCAGACUCCUACGGGAGGCAGCAGUGGGGAAUAUUGGACAAUGGGCGGAAGCCUGAUCCAGCCAUGCCGCGUGUGUGAAGAAGGCCUUUUGGUUGUAAAGCACUUUAAGCGAGGAGGAGGCUACCUGGAUUAAUACUCUAGGAUAGUGGACGUUACUCGCAGAAUAAGCACCGGCUAACUCUGUGCCAGCCGCCGCCGUAAAAC